ACUCCGUACGGGAGGCAGCAGGGUAGGGGAAUUUUUGGACAAUGGGCGAAAGCCUGAUCCAGCAAUGCCGCGUGAGUGAAGAAGGCCUUCGGGUUGUAAAGACUCUUUUGUUCAGGGAAGAAACGGUAGAAAGCUAAUAUCUUUUGUCUAAUGACGGUACCUGAAGAAUAAGCACCGGCUAACUACGUGCCAGCAGCCGCGGUAAUACGUAGGGGUGCAAGCGUUAAUCGGAAUUACUGGGCGUAAAGCGUGCGCAGGCGGUUUUGUAAGUCUGAUGUGAAAUCCCCGGGGCUCAACCUGGGAAUUGCAUUGGAGACUGCAAGGCUAGAAUCUGGCAGAGGGGGGUAGAAUUCCACGUGUAGCAGUGAAAUGCGUAGAUAUGUGGAGGAACACCGAUGGCGAAGGCAGCCCCCUGGGUCAAGAUUGACGCUCAUGCACGAAAGCGUGGGGAGC
rnacentral:rRNA from 1 species